rnacentral:rRNA from 1 species
GACGAACGCUGGCGGCGUGCUUAACACACGCAAGUCGAACGGAAAGGCCCUGCUUUUGUGGGGUGCUCGAGUGGCGAACGGGUGAGUAACACGUGAGUAACCUGCCCUUGACUUUGGGAUAACUUCAGGAAACUGGGGCUAAUACCGGAUAGGAGCUCCUGCUGCAUGGUGGGGGUUGGAAAGUUUCGGCGGUUGGGGAUUGACUCGCGGCUUAUCAGCUUGUUGGUGGGGUAGUGGCUUACCAAGGCUUUGACGGGUAGCCGGCCUGAGAGGGUGACCGGCCACAUUGGGACUGAGAUACGGACCAGACUCCUACGGGAGGCAGCAGUGGGGAAUAUUGCACAAUGGGCGGAAGCCUGAUGCAGCAACGCCGCGUGCGGGAUGACGGCCUUCGGGUUGUAAACCGCUUUCGCCUGUGACGAAGCGUGAGUGACGGUAAUGGGUAAAGAAGCACCGGCUAACUACGUG